UAGGCGAUGAGGCGGCGCAUGAGGCGACGGCGACAGCGAAUGUCUACUAUCCGACGCCGAUCCUCUCCACCGCCUACUCGCCGAUAAGCCGCUGCCCUCCUCUUCCUUCCCUUCUUCUCUUCCUUCCCUUUUCUGUCCCUGGCGCACUGGGUUCUUGCUUCAUCACAUCGGUGUGCUCGCGUGCGUGGCCUCUGUCCUCAAAUCUGGGUGUGUACGGGUUCUUGGCUUGGGUUCUCGUGGGCUACAGGCUCGAUUUGAUUCUUGCCAUCGGUGUGCUAGGGUUCUUGAGUUCUUACCGCACUUUGAUCCCUCAGUUCUUGUUUGUUGGUUUGUGUUCUCUGAUUUCAUUCGAUUCAAUUUGAUUUGAUUCGAUUCGUGGAAGGCCAGGUAGGGUAGCACCAUGGCUGGAUCUUGGGUCAGCUUGUUCACGAAUUACUGUCGUCUGCCAUAGCUUGUAGAUGUGGUCGUGCGAGAUUUGUUCUCACAAUUUAGCAGCACAAUUAGUCGAUUCAAUCACUUGUAAGAAAUGAAUUGCAAAGCAGAAUGCACAACUAGCAGGUCACUCGAUUUCACAUCUUGUAUAUAUCUUUGUGAUCCGCUCUAUUGUUCUGAGAGAAACUUGCAUGUCGCUGUUGUUGGGGCAGAGAACAGGCUGGUACCAACUGAACAUGCGAAUGUCAUGAUCAGUUCCCGUAUCUUUUCUAGCUCAUGGCUCGUCUGUGUUGGUCAGGAUUGAGCACAGAGAUCUUAAUUCUUCAGUGUGCAGAUAAUUAGUAUCUAGGUAUCCAGUGUGUGAAUCAUGUUACAGUGUGUAUGGAAAUAUGCAUUGUUGUUCUGUUAUUUUUUACAGUGUGGUGUUCUUUCCUAGGACAUGUUAUUACUUUCCUAAGACAUGUUACAUUUUACAGUGUGGCGUGCGUGCUGGUACUUAGCUAGUGCAUACGCCAUGCAUGCCUUUAAUUAGAUGGAAUGCUAGCCUGGGAUGUCAGUUCUGUUCUAUGUAUUUGGAUCCUGGGAGUGGGUAUCAAGGUACGAGGCAGAUCUGGUUGCAAAGUGCUAUUUUGCAAAGCACAAACUUGUGUGGGAAGUACUUGAUGGUGGCCUGAAGAGCAAAAUUGAGAUGUAAUGGUCUGAUAUAUGUGGAAUAAAGAUGUUUUGUCCAAAAAAACGAGACUGACACCUUGGAGAUUUUGCUGUCGAGGCAACCACUCUUCUUCCGAGAAACCGAUCCUUAGCCAAGGAAGCAUACUUUGUGGCAGGGAACCUCAAAUUUUACUGGUCUUCACAUAUUUAUCAACCUCACUCGAUAACCUAAAGUGCUUGUAACUAAUAUGAGAGAUUUAUGCUUCUGCCAGGUCAAACUCUAUUUUAUCUUGAUCAAGACUGGAAGACCGAAAGGAUGUUGCUAUUUUUUCUUGAUCAAGACUCUAUUUUUGUUUGCUACUUGUUUGCUACUUCUCCCUUAUUUCAGGCCCUUGCCUUCCAUGCAUGUACAUAAAUGUUUUUACUGCCAAGUGGUUGUCAAACAAGUUGCUAAUAUUUACUGUCAAGUAGCUGUCAAACAAGUGACCUUGAUUUGCUGUCAAACAGGUGUUUACGUCAAGUUGCUAAUGUGUUUUCAUUCCUUACCAAAACGAACGGCCCUAAUGUUGUUGACUUUUGAUUCAUGGGCCAGUUCCUUUGGUGACCAGGUUACAGUGAACCACCAGGAUCCACUCGAUCUGAUCUAGGAAGAGAAACAUGCCUGCUUUCAACACUGAGCUACCAAACGAGCCCUUAGGCUAUCUCCAUGCUCUGCAUGGCCGUGCUGGAGGACGACCUACGCCGGCCGUAAGCAAGAAAUUCCUAGUUUUGGUUGUUUGACCUCAAUUAGCGGCACGAAACGUCAAAGUCAACCUUGUGACCGUCUUUUUGGUCCAAGAUCACGCUUUCCAUCUAUCUCUAAGGAAACCAUAUAGGUUUGUGUCAAAGCCGAUGAAAAAAAAUCCUAGAGGAAGAGGAAGUGGAGAAGCGCCAGGCUAAUCUGCAAUCUAUCUUGGGAAACGUAAGAAAGAGAAAAGAUAUUGGUGCUAACAAAGCUUAUGUGCAACAAACCUUGCAAGAGCAACUGUAGUGAAAAGGAUCAAUGAGGUAACCAUGUCUUACCAAAAUCCAAGCACCAUCUUCUCGACAAUAGUAAAGUUGGACAGCGGAAUCAGGAUACACUGAAAGAAGAUUUUCCUCCAAUGGCAAUAAGUCCUAAAUCUAGGCAUGCAUUUUCUUCGGAAAAAAUGGUUAACCCCACCGUCAUGAGCUCAUUGACUUCAAAGAUGAAGCAAGGAUUCGUUCACCAUGCAAAUUAAGCUAAAUUGACAAGUUCACAACAAAAGAACCUAAGGGCAACGCCAGGGUUGGUUCUCAAUUUAAAGCGGUGACUUAAUACUGAUCAAGGACCACCCUCGCGGAUACAUAAGGGGGGCAUGAUCAAUGAUUGCCAUGAUAUAACCAACAACGACAAUCUUAUGAGUAGGAAAGAACCGUCAUCGGAAGAAAAGCGCAAGGUACAUAAUGACAAUGGUAGUGAAGGUGAGAAUCCAACUCAUUGGAAGAUAACAAAAAGAAAGAGAAAAUACAUAGAGAUAAAUGGAGAUGACAUUGGCAAUUAUAGUCCGGAUGGUAUCAAUAGAUUGGCAUCAAACGAUGAUAUUUUGAAUGAUUGUCUUGAUGAAGUCUCUAGGCCACUUGUUGCCGAUUGUCUCAAGAAGGAAUGCUAUUGUUGUUCCAAUCCCAUCGACGAGCCUGUGUGGAGUGGUCUCCUUAAUAUCGGCAAUAAGGAGUAUAUGCCAUUGUCUGGUCAUUUGUCAACUAAAUCAUCUGAGAAAGUGCGUAAUUUAUCCAAAUCGUUGUCGUGUGUGGUUCAAAUGGCCAAACUAUCUAGGUCUAAGGUCUGACCUAAGAGAUGGAUGGGAUCAAGGCCUAUAAAUAAAUGACAACAUGGGCUUAUACUUCUUCCCCCAUAAGAUGAGGCCUGACAAGUCCCAUGACCAACUACUUGAGGAACUAAUGGAAAAUGAUUUAGCUUUACCGGCCAUUAUUGGUGACACUGAGAUACUGAUGUUCCCUUCUACUAUACUUCUUAAACGAU